GAUGAACGCUGGCGGCGUGCCUAAUACAUGCAAGUCGAGCGAACAGACGAGGAGCUUGCUCCUCUGACGUUAGCGGCGGACGGGUGAGUAACACGUGGAUAGCCUACCUAUAAGACUGGGAUAACUUCGGGAAACCGGAGCUAAUACCGGAUAAUAUAUUGAACCGCAUGGUUCAAUAGUGAAAGACGGUUUUGCUGUCACUUAUAGAUGGAUCCGCGCCGCAUUAGCUAGUUGGUAAGGUAACGGCUUACCAAGGCAACGAUGCGUAGCCGACCUGAGAGGGUGAUCGGCCACACUGGAACUGAGACACGGUCCAGACUCCUACGGGAGGCAGCAGUAGGGAAUCUUCCGCAAUGGGCGAAAGCCUGACGGAGCAACGCCGCGUGAGUGAUGAAGGUCUUCGGAUCGUAAAACUCUGUUAUUAGGGAAGAACAAAUGUGUAAGUAACUAUGCACGUCUUGACGGUACCUAAUCAGAAAGCCACGGCUGACUACGUG
rnacentral:rRNA from 1 species